CUCAGAAUCUGAACUAACUGAGUUAUAAAAGUUAUAAAGAAAACACUGUUAAGUUUAGUGAAGGGCAAAUCUCCAAAAUAGCACCUUUCUAAAUUUAUAUCACAAAAAUAGCACUCAAAAACUAAAAUGACCAAAAUAGCACAUUUCUAAGUUUAUCUUUUGAAAAUUUUAAUUUUUUAAUUUUUCAAAAUUUGAAAUCUUAUCCCCAAAACCUCAUUUCUCAACUCUAAACCCUAAACCCUAAACUCUAAACCCUAAACCCUAAACUCUAAACCCUAAACCCUAAACCCUAAACCUUAAACUCUAAACCCUAAAUCCUAAACCCUAAACCCUAAAUCUUAAAUCCUAAACCC
rnacentral:lncRNA from 1 species